GACCUAGUGGUGAAAUGAACCACACUCGCAAUCUGUAAAUUGGUCACUGUAGUUCAAUUUAGUGAGAGAUCCCGGUUCGACUCCGGGCUGGGUCA